GGGCACAUGGUGUAGUUGGUUAUCACAUCCGCUUAGCAGGUCCUUUCUGAACUAAGAAGGUUUCUGUCAAGUGUCUGACGAACGUUGAAUGCGGGGGGUGCUGGGUUCAAUUCCCAGUGUGUCCA